rnacentral:rRNA from 1 species
UACGGAGGGGGCUAGCGUUGUUCGGAAUUACUGGGCGUAAAGCGCACGUAGGCGGCUUUGUAAGUUAGAGGUGAAAGCCCGGAGCUCAACUCCGGAAUUGCCUUUAAGACUGCAUCGCUAGAAUUGUGGAGAGGUAAGUGGAAUUCCGAGUGUAGAGGUGAAAUGCGCAGAUAUCAGGAGGAACACCAAUGGCGAAGGCAGCUCGCUGGGACGUGACUGACGCUGAGACGCGAAAAGCCGUGGGGGAGCAAACAGG